AUGGACACCCCUGCUCAGAUCCUCUGCCUCCUGCUGCUCUGGCUCCCAGGUGAGGGGACACGCAUGAAAUUGCUGACACAGUCUCCAGCUUCCCUGUCUUUGUCUCCCGGAGAAAGUGCCACCUUCACCUGCAGGGCCAGUCAGAGUGUUAGUAACUACCUAGCCUGGUACCAGCAGAAGCCUGGGCAGGUUCCCAAGCUCCUUAUAUAUGGUGUAUCCAACAGGGCCACCGGCAUCCCAGCCAGGUUUACUGGCAGUGGGUCUGGGACAGACUUUGUUCUCACCAUCAGCAGCCUGGAAGCGGAGGACGCGGCAGUGUACUACUGUCAGCAAGGCUACAGUGGGAACCACAAAUCACUGUGGUACACUUUCGGCCAAGGGACCACGCUGGAAAUCAAACGGGCUGUGGCUAAGCCCUCCGUCUUCAUCUUCCCACCGUCCUCGGAGCAGCUCAAGACCGGUAGUGCCUCUGUGGUGUGCUUGCUGGGCGGCUUCUACCCCCAGGUCGUCAGUGUCAGGUGGACGGUGGACGGUGUUGUCCACACCGAGGGCAUCCAGACCAGUGCCCCCGAGCUGGACGGCAAGGACAGCACCUACAGCCUCAGCAGCACCUUGACGCUGUCCGGUUCCGAGUACGCACGCCAUGCUGUCUACGCCUGCGAGGUCACCCACCAGGCCCUGCCUGCUGCCCUCGUCAAGAGCUUCAGUUCCACAGAGUGUUAGAGAGGGGCCUGCGGGUCCUUCACGCUCUCCUCAGGCCCUUCCCACAGGAGACCCCCUAUUGCGGUACUAGCCCCGCUUCCCACCUCACCCCUGCCCCCUCUUUAGGAGGGGGAAGGAAUAAUAAAGUAAUU